GGUCUUCAGAUAAAAGACAAACCGAGAAUAUGCGCUAUCGCUCAGUUGUACCAGCUUGAUCGCACAAAAAAAACUAUGAAAAUUAUAUGAGAUCUGAGGUUUGCUGGGCAUUUUUCUCACAGAAGUACCUUCAGGCUUGGCUCCUCUGCAAGAUACGACGGACCUGGAAAAGAUCCUCGAGGAACCUACAUUGAUGUACCUUUAUGUCACCC
rnacentral:lncRNA from 1 species